rnacentral:rRNA from 1 species
UAGAGGUAGAGCUACUGAUUGGAUGCGGGGGAAGCGAUUCCUACCAAGUCCUGACAAACUCCGAAUGCUAACAGAUAUACACUGCAGUGAGCCAUUGGGUGCUAAGGUCCAAUGACGAAAGAGAGAGAACUCAGACCAACAGCUAAGGUCCCCAAAUCUAUUCUAAGUUGAUAUAACGUGGUGCGACUGCAUUGACAGCCAGGAUGUUUGCUUGGAAGCAGCCAUUCAUUUAAAGAGUGCGUAACAGCUCACUGGUCGAGCGGUCGUGCGUGGACGAUACUCGGGCAUCAAGAAUAGUACCGAAGCUUUGGACUUAAAUUUAUUUAAGUGGUAGGGGAGCAUUCUAACUGCGUAGAAGAAGUUGCGUGAGCGCUAUUGGAGCGGUUAGAAAAGCAAAUGUAGGCAUAAGUAACGAUAAAAUAGGCGAGAAACCUAUUCGCCGAUAGACUAAGGUUUCCUGAACAACGAUAAUCGAUUCAGGGUCAGUCGGGACCUAAGGUGAAGCCGAAGGGCGUAAUCGAUGGACAACUGGUUAAUAUUCCAGUACUUGUAUCACUGCGAUGGAGAGACGCAGGCGCGUAAGGUCAGCGAACUGACGGAAUAGUUCGUUUAAGUGCGUAGGUUUAGGUUCUGUAGGCAAAUCCGCAGAGCUUCUGAAACAUGAAAGUAGCCAGAGUCGUCAGACAAAGGCAUUGACCCCAAGCAUACUGCCAAGAAAAUCUUCUAAGCUUCAGGUGAAUACAACCCGUACCGCAAACCGACACAGGUAGUCAAGUAGAAUAUACUAAGGCGCUCGAGUGAUCCGCGGCUAAGGAACUAGGCAAAUUAACCCUGUAACUUCGGGAAAAAGGGUGCCACCAGCAAUGGUGGCCGCAGAGAAAUGGCGGUGGCGACUGUUUAACAAAAACACAGGGCUUUGCAAAACUGAAAGGUGAAGUAUAAGGCCUGACACCUGCCCGGUGCCGGAAGGUUAAGAGGAGAGGUUAGCGUAAGCGAAGCUUUGAAUUGAAGCCCCGGUAAACGGCGGCCGUAACUAUAACGGUCCUAAGGUAGCGAAAUUCCUUGUCGGGUAAGUUCCGACCUGCACGAAUGGUGUAACGAUCUGGACACUGUCUCAGCCAUGAGCUCGGUGAAAUUGUAGUAACGGUGAAGAUGCCGUUUACCCGCAACGGGACGAAAAGACCCCGUGAACCUUUACUAUAGCUUAGCGCUGAUUUUGGAUAAGUGAUGUGUAGGAUAGGUGGGAGACUGCGAAGCAGGUACGCCAGUAUUUGUGGAGUCGCCGUUGAAAUACCACCCUUUGCUUAUCUGGGAUCUAACUUGAACAAGGACACCGCUUGGUGGGUAGUUUGACUGGGGUGGUCGCCUCCAAAAGCGUAACGGAGGCUUCUA